AAAUGCACAGGCUGUGAACUCGAUGAGUAGGGCGGGACACGUGACAUCCUGUCUGAAUAUGGGGGGACCAUCCUCCAAGGCUAAAUACUCCUGACUGACCGAUAGUGAACCAGUACCGUGAGGGAAAGGCGAAAAGAACCCCGGCGAGGGGAGUGAAAUAGAACCUGAAACCGUGUACGUACAAGCAGUGGGAGCACCUUCGUGGUGUGACUGCGUACCUUUUGUAUAAUGGGUCAGCGACUUAUAUUUUGUAGCAAGGUUAACCGAAUAGGGGAGCCGUAGGGAAACCGAGUCUUAACUGGGCGUCUAGUUGCAAGGUAUAGACCCGAAACCCGGUGAUCUAGCCAUGGGCAGGUUGAAGGUUGGGUAACACUAACUGGAGGACCGAACCGACUAAUGUUGAAAAAUUAGCGGAUGACUUGUGGCUGGGGGUGAAAGGCCAAUCAAACCGGGAGAUAGCUGGUUCUCCCCGAAAGCUAUUUAGGUAGCGCCUCGUGAACUCAUCUUCGGGGGUAGAGCACUGUUUCGGCUAGGGGGCCAUCCCGGCUUACCAAACCGAUGCAAACUCCGAAUACCGAAGAAUGUUAUCACGGGAGACACACGGCGGGUGCUAACGUCCGUCGUGAAGAGGGAAACAACCCAGACCGCCAGCUAAGGUCCCAAAGUCAUGGUUAAGUGGGAAACGAUGUGGGAAGGCACAGACAGCCAGGAUGUUGGCUUAGAAGCAGCCAUCAUUUAAAGAAAGCGUAAUAGCUCACUGGUCGAGUCGGCCUGCGCGGAAGAUGUAACGGGGCUAAACCAUGCACCGAAGCUGCGGCAGCGACACUUAGGCGUUGUUGGGUAGGGGAGCGUUCUGUAAGCCGUUGAAGGUGACCUG
rnacentral:rRNA from 1 species